GUCUCCGUGGUGUAGUGGUUAUCACGUGCGACUCACACGCGUAAGGUCCUCGGUUCGAUCCCGAGCGGGUACA
rnacentral:tRNA from 1 species